AAUAAAGUAAGCUAAAUAAAAGCUGUUGGGUUCAUACCCCGAAAAUAAAUAGUUAUAUAUUUCUUUAUUA
rnacentral:tRNA from 1 species